UACGGAGGGGGCUAGCGUUGUUCGGAAUUACUGGGCGUAAAGCGCACGUAGGCGGCUUUGCAAGUUAGAGGUGAAAGCCCGGGGCUCAACCUGGGAAUGGCAUUCGGGACUGCAAGGCUGGAGUGCGGCAGAGGAGACUGGAAUUCCUGGUGUAGCAGUGAAAUGCGUAGAUAUCAGGAGGAAUACCGAUGGCGAAGGCAGGUCUCUGGGCUGACACUGACGCUCAUGCACGAAAGCGUGGGGAGCAAACAGG
rnacentral:rRNA from 1 species